rnacentral:rRNA from 1 species
UACGUAGGGGGCAAGCGUUGUCCGGAUUCAUUGGGCGUAAAGAGCGUGUAGGCGGCCAGGUAGGUCGGUUGUGAAAACUGGAGGCUCAACCUUCAGAGGUCGACCGAAACCAUCUGGCUAGAGUCCGGGAGAGGAGAGUGGAAUUCCUGGUGUAGCAGUGAAAUGCGUAGAUAUCGUAAGGAAGACCAGUGGCGAAGGCGAGUCUCUGGACAGUUACUGACGCUGAGGCACGAAGGCCAGGGGAGCAAACGGG